rnacentral:tRNA from 1 species
GCCCGGAUGGCGGAAUUGGUAGACGCGCUAAGUUCAGGUCUUAGUAGGUUUAACCUGUGCAGGUUCAAGUCCUGUUCCGGGUACAA